rnacentral:rRNA from 1 species
UACGUAGGGUGCAAGCGUUGUCCGGAUUCAUUGGGCGUAAAGAGCGUGUAGGCGGCCAGGUAGGUCGGUUGUGAAAACUGGAGGCUCAACCUUCAGAGGUCGACCGAAACCAUCUGGCUAGAGUCCGGAAGAGGAGAGUGGAAUUCCCGGUGUAGCGGUGAAAUGCGCAGAUAUCGGGAAGAACACCCGUGGCUAAGGCGGCUCUCUAGUACGGUACUGACGCUGAGACGCGAAAGCGUGGGGAGCGAACAGG